GACGAACGCUGGCGGCGUGCUUAACACAUGCAAGUCGAACGCUGAAGCUCAGCUUUUGUUGGGUGGAUGAGUGGCGAACGGGUGAGUAACACGUGAGUAACCUGCCUCCUUCUUUGGGAUAACGCCCGGAAACGGGUGCUAAUACUGGAUAUUCACUGGUCUUCGCAUGGGGGUUGGUGGAAAGGGUUUUUCUGGUGGGGGAUGGGCUCGCGGCCUAUCGGCUUGUUGGUGGGGUGAUGGCCUACCAAGGCUUUGACGGGUAGCCGGCCUGAGAGGGUGACCGGUCACAUUGGGACUGAGAUACGGCCCAGAGUCCUCCGGGAGGCAGCAGUGGGGAAUAUUGCCCAAUGGGCGCAAGCCUGAUGCAGCGACGCCGCGUGAGGGAUGGGGGCCUUCGGGUUGUGAACCUCUUUCGCUCAUGGUCAAGCCGCAACAAUGGUUGUGGUGAGGGUAGUGGGUAAAGAAGCGCCGGCUAACUACGUG
rnacentral:rRNA from 1 species